UUUUGAGUCAUGCAUCAUCAAUCUGACCAACCUCUGAUGAGAUAAGGGAGGUUGGAUAUUGAGUUCAACUGAGUGGCCAAUGAUUCAACCAAGUAUGCCUAUGUAAUGAAACCUCAGUAAAGGUUCUGGACACCAAAGCGCAAGUGAACUUCUUUGGUUGACAGUACUCUGCAUAUUGUGGCACAUCAACAUGUCAGGAGGGUAAAGAGUCCUGAGGACAAGGAUGCUUCAUGUUUGGGACCCUCCCAGACCUUGACCUUUCACUGAACAUGAAAAAUUCUGAGUUCAAAAUUAUGUUCAAUGGGAACUGAAAGUAGACUACAAAGAGGAUGCCUCCAGUCUCCUUUUAUACCUUCCCAAAAGAUGAUGUAAUACUUUGAACAGCCAAGAAGAGAACUGAAGGGUGGUACACUAGCUGUUGAGAAGAAAACUGAUGUGAAGAGGACAAGAACAAAAGCACGGAGACUAAUAAAUUAUUGCAAUACUCUGGAUCCCAGUUUUGUUCAGAGAGCGAAUGCCCAGGAAAAAUAUGCCCAGAAGCUCUCACAGCUAAAAGCCAUCAUGUGACUCGUACUGACUGAUGAGAUGGGAAUGGAAGUCUACCUGGAGGAUAAGCUGUAUGUUUUCACGUUAAAAAGAAAGACUUGGUGGGGCCUGCCUGUGACCAAGUGGUUAAAGUUCCCCAUGCUCUGCUUCAGCACCCUGGGUUCUCUGGUUCGGAUCCUGGGUGCAGACCUACUCCACUCAUCAGCCAUGCUGUGGAGGCGUCCUGCAUACAAAAAAUGGAGGAAGAUUGGCACAGAUGUUAGCUCAGGGCUAAUCUUCCUAAAGCAAAGUAAAAGGAGGAUUGGCAAUGGAUCUUGGCUCAGGGUGAAUCUUCCUCACCAAAAAAGAAAAAAGAAAAGAAACAAGACUUGGCUGGCUGCCCUUUCCCUUUUCUCCUUCUAUGGAGGAUGGAUGCCAUGCUAAUGGUGGUGGUGCAGAGGGUUAGAAAGCUGGAUGGUUGAUGAGUUUCUUGGGCACCUGCCCCAGCACUGCACUCUCUACCUCCAGAUUUUGAUUAAUG
rnacentral:lncRNA from 1 species